UAACUGAAGAGUUUGAUCAUGGCUCAGAUUGAACGCUGGCGGCAGGCUUAACACAUGCAAGUCGAGCGGGGGAAGGUAGCUUGCUACC
rnacentral:rRNA from 2 species